rnacentral:SRP_RNA from 1 species
GCUGGGUGUGGUGGUGGGCACCUGUAAUCCCAGCUACUCGGGAGGCUGAGGCAGGAGAAUGGCUUGAACCCAGGAGGCUUUGGUUGCAGUGAGCUGAGAUCGCGCCACUGCACUCCAGCCUGGUGACAGAGCAAGACUCUGUCUCAA